GUCUAGGACCUCUGGGUGGUCGCGCUGAUUCCCGGCCAAUGCACCAAAUGAAAGACCCCCAAGGGGAGAUCCCCACUCAGGCACUUAAGUCCCGGGACAGCUGCGGACCCAAGAAGACACUGAGACCA
rnacentral:pre_miRNA from 7 species